rnacentral:lncRNA from 1 species
UACAUAAUCAAAUGGUGAAAAUAUGGCAAAGUGUGCAAAACAAAGCCCUUGGCAAUGCCUGGGGCCCUGCCCUGGCAGGGGAGGCUGUGGCAGGCCCUUCCCUAACACUGGUUUCAGAGCUGGGCUCCUACUGUAAGGGUUCCUCAGGCGUCUGACCCUCUCACAUCUUGAACCUCUUGUUUAAAGCUUUCUCCAGGUACUCCUGAAUCCACUUUAGCUUCGGGUCAAUGCACACUUGUCUGUUGUUGUUCUUCAGCCGGGCUACAAUCUGAAGGGCACAGUUUGGAGUGUUGAGAAUUUUGAGAUGCUUGACGUUGGCUCUGGCAACAUGGCUUUCGAAGAAUCGGCAUGGGCAUCUGUAGCUCAGGCUGACGGGCUUCCCGUCGCUGAGGCAGAGCGCGGUCAGCACGAGGACCAGCACGACCACGACCUUGGCGUUCAUGGCGCGGGCGGGCGGGCGGGCGGGCGGACGAGCGCGGGUCGGGGGCCGGACGCCGAGCGGGCAAUGCGGCUGACGGAGAG